UUUCGGCAUCCUCGUACAAUCGCCUUCC
rnacentral:sRNA from 1 species